rnacentral:misc_RNA from 1 species
UUAUUAAAUUAACUUUUUACUCCGACGUAAGAAUGCAGUGUUUUGAUGACCUCCGGGGGGAAUGCCGCGGACGGCAGGGUCGCCCCCGAAGCAACAAGAUGUGUUCACAAAGGGUUGGAGGUCGGACGUGAGUCCUCACUCAGUAAUGAUCCCUCCGCAGGUUCACCUACGGAGA